GAGAGCACAGUAUGAUGAAAGUUGUAAGCUAUGUUCGGGGGAGGGGGAGUUAUUGUCUAUCGUUGGCCUCUAUGGUAGAACCCGUCGGGGAGGCCUGAGAGGCGGUGGUUUACCCUAU
rnacentral:ncRNA from 1 species